rnacentral:rRNA from 1 species
GUUGAGCGCUGAAGGUUGGUACUUGUACCGACUGGAUGAGCAGCCAAUGGGUGAGUAACGCGUGGGGAAUCUGCCUUUGAGCGGGCUAUAACAUUUGGAAACGAAUGCUAAUACCGCAUAAAAACUUUAAACACAAGUUUUAAGUUUGAAAGAUGCAAUUGUUUCACUCAAAGAUGAUCCCGCGUUGUAUUAGCUAGUUGGGGAGGUAAAGGCUCACCAAGGCGAUGAUACAUAGCCGACCUGAGAGGGUGAUCGGCCACAUUGGGACUGAGACACGGCCCAAACUCCUACGGGAGGCAGCAGUAGGGAAUCUUCGGCAAUGGACGAAAGUCUGACCGAGCAACGCCGCGUGAGUGAAGAAGGUUUUCGGAUCGUAAAACUCUGUUGGUAGAGAAGAACGUUGGUGAGAGUGGAAAGCUCAUCAAGUGACGGUAACUACCCAGAAAGGGACGGCUAACUACGUGCCAGCAGCCGCGGUAAUACGUAGGUCCCGAGCGUUGUCCGGAUUUAUUGGGCGUAAAGCGAGCGCAGGUGGUUUAUUAAGUCUGGUGUAAAAGGCAGUGGCUCAACCAUUGUAUGCAUUGGAAACUGGUAGACUUGAGUGCAGGAGAGGAGAGUGGAAUUCCAUGUGUAGCGGUGAAAUGCGUAGAUAUAUGGAGGAACAC